UAGGAAUCCGGUGGCUCUUUUCAUGGCUUUCGGUACCAAAGGCGAUGUUAACCCAAUUGCUCUUAAUGUUUGAUUAGCAUUUGGAACUGUGAUUGGGCUUAUUAAUGUUGGUGAACUGGUUGAGAAAUAAUUAGAUGAAGUGAAAUAACUUCCAGUUGAGAUUUAAUAUAUUGGGUUCUGUUGUAAUGUCUCAUGGUGGUCUUUCCAAAAAGGAAUUGAAUAGUUGCAUCUAUGCCAUUGCUGCAGCUUUUGCUCAUGAUCAGAAUCAAUAUCAUGUGGUUUUAGUAACACACUCAGCACAUGAGGUUUGCAUCAUAUUGAAGAAACGAAAAACAAGAAAAUGUUCUUCCCCGUAUCUUCUUUCUCCUCUUUCUUUAAAAUUUCCUUUGGAUACAGUGUGCCCUCCUAAUAUAAUUUUUUUUUUUCAGAACUUAAGGUCCCAUUUGGAAGAUAGACAUGUUACUUUUCUUCCUAUUAAAUCGCCAUCUGUUAUUUCUAUUCAUGAGAGUUAUAAUUCCACAGGUUUGAAUUACUGUUUUCAAAUAAGAUAUUGUCUAUAUAUUAUGUAGGAGGACUAUGAUUGUGGAAAUAAAUGAACUUUACAACUAAAGGGAUAAAAUUAACCACUCUGUAUUUACUUUUAAAUAUUUGAUGCAUCAUUUUUUUUUUCUUACAGAGACAGAGGAAUCUGCUUUCUCACUUCAGAAAAGGAUUAUCUCAAGAGAGCACAGACGAAAAUGCUAUUCUGUAGUUGAAGGAAUUUUUGGACAUGGCCCAAGCAUGGAGGGUGAUUUUAUUGUGAUAAAUUUUUUUGCAUUGGAAGGGUGGAGCCUUGCGGAACAUUUUCGUGUUCGUUGUGUAGUUGCUUCUCCUUAUGUUAUUCCAUACAGUGCACCUUCAUCAUUUGAGCAUCAAUUCAGAAAAGAGCUUCCCCUUCUCUAUGAAUAUCUCCAAGAAGCUCCGACUAACAAGGUUUGCUGGAAAGAUGUGAUUCACUGGAUGUGGCCACUUUUUACUGAAAAUUGGGGAUCAUGGAGAAGUGAUGAUUUGAACCUGAGUCCUAUUCCUUUUACAGUCGGUGCUUUAGUAGUUGGAAUUCCUUGUUGGUUUGAUUCAAUAAUGUGACAAGCGCUGCUUCCUAGUUCAUCUAGAUUCUGAUAAAUUGUUGUUGUGUUGCUAGAAUACAUCUAUAAACUCAUUAAAUGCCUUGUUCCAUGAAUGCAGGAUCCUGUAACGGGCCUUCCCACUUGGCAUGAUUGGCCACCAUCUCCCCUCCUCUUGUAUGGGUUUAGCAAAGAAAUUGUUGAAUGCCCAGAUUAUUGGCCGUCACAAGUUCGUGUUUGUGGGUUUUGGUUCCUCCCUAUUGAAUGGCAGUUUGCAUGUAAGAAAUGUGGACAAAUUUCAGCAAUUUUUUCUCCUGGGAGUACUAGAACAAAGGACGAAAUGUGUGCAGCUCAUGUAAAUUUACAAUGUUUUUUGAGGACAACAGUGCCACCUGUUUUUAUAGGACUAAGUUCUGCGGGAAGCAUGGGUUUUUUGGAGCACCCUGAAGCAUUCCUUAAGGUUAUUCAAACUGUCCUGGAGAUCACAAAUUUCAAAUUUGUCCUUUUUACUUCAGGUUAUGAGCCUUUGGAUGAAGCAAUCCAACUUGUUGCAACCAAAACUUUGCAUUUUGAUCAAAGGCAGUACAGUGAAGAGGGGGUCUGUCUCUUUGAUGGCCGCCUAUUCUGCUUUCCUAGGUGAGCAUUUUUUAAUACAUCUAAAUGUUAAAUUGAUAGAAGAAGAUCCAUAGUUGAUAAGAAGAAAAUAGUCAAAAGAUAACUGCAUGUAAAUUUUUGCAUCCUUGGGAAAUGGGAUAUUAUAUUCACACUUACUCAUUCUUUUGUGUAAUGCAAUUUCAGAAUUCAGGUUUAAAGUUUUAAAGCAUAGAAAAGAUGAAUAUGUAUGUGUAAUCAGAUCCUCAAGGGGACAGAAUGCUUAUGUAAAGAGUGAAGAACAAAGAUAGGAAACAUGCCUCAUGGUGAGAGAGGAUUCAAUGGGCUUGCAUAUGCAAUCAAACUCUCAAAUGAUUUUUUAUCAGUCUAAGAAAAAUAUGAUUGUUUGGAAUAUCUUGUUUCCUAUCAAAAUAAGAAAUUCUAAUGGGAAAAUUUCUAAUGCACUCACUUUGAAAGACCAACAUGGAUGCAACAAUAACAAAUUGGAGAGAUUCAUAGAAAUUCUAGGAAACUCUCGCUUGAUUAGUGUAUAAAAAUACCCCUUUUUUGAAUGAAAUUUCUGAUGUUACGUUUCUCCCUUGUUUUUAAAAAUGUCCGCAUGUCAUAAAAUAUAUUUCCAUAUCAAAAGUUGAUUUUGUGUGACAUUGCUUAUGAUUCAACCUAUAAAAUCAUAUAAGUGACCUUGUCGGUGAGCAUCACAUCUGGACUCCAUUGAAGUGAAAUAGCUAAUAAGAUCCCUUUUCCCAUAGCUGCAUGUAGAGAGGGAAGGGAGGCUGGGUAGGUUGGGG
rnacentral:misc_RNA from 1 species